GUGAGAUCACUUUAGUGUAUGAAUGAAUAUUGAGGCUCCUUCAAGGGAGGUUAUCCCUAAUACUCUGACGGUCUUUCAUUCUCAAAUAGAGAGGAUCGACGCGGGUGGUGAGAGUAGUGGGAAGUCCUAGGGUAGACGCUUUCACUGGAGGUCUAUUCCGCGGUAACGGACUAGCCUUGUGUGUGGUCGGGUGAAACCCCUCGGCAAUGGCUUUGCAAAGCAGUAGAGUCCACCACAAGUGCACAACCUGCCCAAGAUCAAUAUUCAUUCCUAGUCCGGACGAGUCUGGGUCAAUUAGGAUUUAUUUAUUGAUUGUUGCUUGUAUGCUCUGUUUCUUGAAAAUGCAUUGAAUAUGUUUAUGUUUUAAAUACUAGCUCACCCUUGCAAUGUAUGUGUGUAUUUUGCAUGUUUCUGGUCUUCCCUUCUUGCGAUGAUCAUCCUACUUUUGGAUGUGAGCAGAACCAGUAGAUGACACGCCUUUGGAGCAAGCUCUGGACAGUGG
rnacentral:lncRNA from 1 species